rnacentral:rRNA from 1 species
GAUGAACGCUGGCGGCGUGCUUAACACAUGCAAGUCGAACGGUGAAGGAGAGCUUGCUCUUUGGAUCAGUGGCGAACGGGUGAGUAACACGUGAGCAAUCUGCCCCUGACUCUGGGAUAACAGUUGGAAACAGCUGCUAAUACCGGAUAUGAGACGUGACCGCAUGGUCGACGUUUGGAAAGAAUUUCGGUCAGGGAUGAGCUCGCGGCCUAUCAGCUUGUUGGUGAGGUAAUGGCUCACCAAGGCGUCGACGGGUAGCCGGCCUGAGAGGGUGACCGGCCACACUGGGACUGAGACACGGCCCAGACUCCUACGGGAGGCAGCAGUGGGGAAUAUUGCACAAUGGGCGAAAGCCUGAUGCAGCAACGCCGCGUGAGGGACGACGGCCUUCGGGUUGUAAACCUCUUUUAGCAGGGAAGAAGCGAAAGUGACGGUACCUGCAGAAAAAGCGCCGGCUAACUACGUGCCAGCAGCCGCGGUAAUACGUAGGGCGCAAGCGUUAUCCGGAAUUAUUGGGCGUAAAGAGCUCGUAGGCGGUUUGUCGCGUCUGCUGUGAAAACUGGAGGCUCAACCUCCAGCCUGCAGUGGGUACGGGCAGACUAGAGUGCGGUAGGGGAGAUUGGAAUUCCUGGUGUAGCGGUGGAAUGCGCAGAUAUCAGGAGGAACACCGAUGGCGAAGGCAGAUCUCUGGGCCGUAACUGACGCUGAGGAGCGAAAGGGUGGGGAGCAAACAGGCUUAGAUACCCUGGUAGUCCACCCCGUAAACGUUGGGAACUAGUUGUGGGGUCCAUUCCACGGAUUCCGUGACGCAGCUAACGCAUUAAGUUCCCCGCCUGGGGAGUACGGCCGCAAGGCUAAAACUCAAAGGAAUUGACGGGGACCCGCACAAGCGGCGGAGCAUGCGGAUUAAUUCGAUGCAACGCGAAGAACCUUACCAAGGCUUGACAUAUACGAGAACGGGCUAGAAAUAGUCAACUCUUGGGACACUCGUAAACAGUGGUGCAUGUUGUCGUCAGCUCGUGUCGUGAGAUGUUGGGUUAAGUCCCGCAACGAGCGCAACCCUCGUUCUAUGUUGCCAGCACGUAAUGGUGGGAACUCAUGGGAUACUGCCGGGGUCAACUCGGAGGAAGGUGGGGAUGACGUCAAAUCAUCAUGCCCCUUAUGUCUUGGGCUUCACGCAUGCUACAAUGGCCGGUACAAAGGGCUGCAAUACCGUAAGGUGGAGCGAAUCCCAAAAAGCCGGUCCCAGUUCGGAUUGAGGUCUGCAACUCGACCUCAUGAAGUCGGAGUCGCUAGUAAUCGCAGAUCAGCAACGCUGCGGUGAAUACGUUCCCGGGUCUUGUACACACCGCCCGUCAAGUCAUGAAAGUCGGUAACACCUGAAGCCGGUGGCCCAACCCUUGUGGAGGGAGCCGU